rnacentral:tRNA from 1 species
UAGAAUGUGGUGUAAAGGAAACACAGGGAAAUUUGAGUUCUCUAAUAUAGGUUCAAUUCCUAUUGUUCUAG